UCUACACAGCUUAUAUAAUAUUAAUGUAAAUUGUAUUGAUUUGUAUGAUUGCCAGUCCGAAGUCUAGAACUCAGAACAAUCAUAGAUUAAAUAUACCAUAGAUUUACAACAGUUGACAGCUUGCAUUUUAAGACUGAUCCUAGUACUGAAUGCAGAGUGUAUCAUACUUGUUCAAUUGAUAUAUUAUAACAAUAUUGUCUGGUAUAUUUGAUUUUAAUUCAAGGAUAUUUAUCAUCUAAUGAUGGUUAUACAUUCUUGAAUUAAUGAUAUCUUAAGUGGGACGGCAUUUUGUAUAUUUUAUUGAUGAAUCAAAAUUAUUUUUAUUUGUUAAGUACUUAUUGGACUUUAUUGUGUAAUGAGGUCAUUGUGAGAAAGUUAAUAAAGAGCACCCUACAUGUAUUAUUUAAAUAAAAGAAAUAAAACGGAAUCUUAAACAGAAUCCUGGUUACACCCACAUAGCAAAAUUCUUCCCGGGACGUCAAUUUACAUUAAUAUCAAAUAACUCAAAAAAUAACUGUUGUAUAUUACUAGUUUCUUUCCUAAUUAUAAAAAUUUCAAAUUGUAUGACCGCGCUGUUAUACCAAUGGAAAUUCCAAACACACCCACAACUACUUGGGAUGUACACAAGAUUAAAAAGAUAUUUAAAAAAAACAGGUCUGUCAUGCAUUUCAUAUAUAUUAAUUGUUAAUAAUAUGCGCUUAAAUUUAAUAUUUUUAUUACUAGACGAUUUUAUUAAAGCUAAGGAAAUAUUAAGUAAAGCCGAGUAUAGGUCGAAUUUUGAAAGUGAUUCUAGUACUGCAAUAAAAAUGCGCAAAGUUUGGGUUGCAAAAUCAACAAGUGAAAGUGAAAAUUAUGAAAAUUCUGAACCAAGUAAUAAUAUUCCACCAUUUCCAAAUCCACCUGGUAGUUAUAUACAUAACUCAUAAAAAUAAAAAUAAUAAUUUGAUUUUUAAAAAGUUAAAUAAUUUUACUUAACAAAAGAAAAAAUAUAUGCAUCUACCCAGAUAAAUAGUUGUGUGGAAAAGCGUUUGUUUAAAAUACAAUUUUAUAUAAUAUUAUACUACAGAAAUGAUAAAACUAUUCAUAGGUAAAAAAAAAUAUACAUCAAUUCAGAAACCAGCCUACCAAGUAUGUUCUCCAGUUGUUUCAUCUCAAAAACGUUUAAUUAAUUUAGAGUCAAUGACAGUCAGUACACCAUCCCAAAAAAUUAAAAAAUGUCUUGGUACUUUUAAUGAUUCAAUUUCACCUUUACUCAGUACCUCAAGGGAUUCAAGU